rnacentral:piRNA from 1 species
AGAAUUCUCACCCGAGGAAUA